rnacentral:rRNA from 1 species
GCAUAAUCAUUAGUCUUUUAAUUGAAGGCUAGAAUGAAUGGUUGAAUGAGAUAUUUACUGUCUUUUUAUUUUUUAGUUAAAAAGCUAAAAAAGACGAGAAGACCCUAUNAAUCUUUAAUUUUAUUGGGGUGAUAAUAAAAUUUAUAAAACUUUUACAUUGAUCCAUUUAUGAUUAAGUUACUUUAGGGAUAACAGCGUAAUUUUUUUAGAGAGUUCAUAUUGAUAAAAAAGAUUGCGACCUCGAUGU